UCACCUUUCCUACCCUCUCCAGCACAGAUCUUUGUUACUCUCCUGUCUGGGACACAAUGGGAGCUCUUUUAUUCCUUUGUUUUGGCCUAAAUCUCUUCUCUGGACUCUUAAAACAAGGAGGAAGGUUUUUGCCUCCACUCCUGAAAACUUUGCUCGUCUUCAAGAAUGAAGGUGUUCAAGGGUUUUAUUUACCUACUUAAUCAGUGGAGGAACCAAGAAGAUGACAAAUCUGGAUCUAAGAACAUCUGAGGAAGAGGGGUCUCGAUACAUCCUCUGGAGAGACAUUAAAAAAGCUGAAUGUUAGAAUGAGAUACCGGAGAGCAUGCAGAACACCCAGGACAAACAAAGUGGAUUCAAACUCAAGGGAUUGGGCCAGCUAACUCGUCUGCCUCCAGGGUAGCAGAGAAGUGCCUUGCACCACUGUUUCAGCCUGCCAACUCCAAACAAUAGCCAGUUGUGAGUGGCCACUGCCUUGUGCUGUGAGACUCAUGAAGCCACAGAGCUGAAAGCCAGCUGGCUCUGUGGGAAAUGUGAGAAACUCUAGGCUGUAUAGAUGUGAAAAUGCAA